GAAACGGGCGCUAAUACCGGAUGACCUUAGUUGGGGAAGAUCCGAUUAAUGAAAGGCUAUGGCGCUUGAGGAGGGGCCUGCGGCCCAUCAGUUAGUCGGUAGGGUAACGGCCUACCAAGGCGAAGACGGGUAGGGGGUGUGAGAGCACGGNCCCCCACACUGGGACUGAGACACGGUCCAGACUCCUACGGGAGGCAGCAGCGGCGAAUAUUGCGCAAUGGACGGAAGUCAGACGCAGCGACGCCGCGUGGGUGAAUGAGGCCUUCGGGUUGCAAAGCCCUUUUCUGAGGGAAGAGAAACGACGGUACCUUAUGAAUAAGCGUCGGCUAACUACGUGCCAGCAGCCGCGGUAAGACGUAGGACGCGAGCGUUAUCCGGAUUUACUGGGCGUAAAGCGUGUGUAGGCGGCGUGACAAGUUGGGCGUGAAAGCCCCGUGCUCAACGCGGGGAGGCCGAACAAUACUGUCAGGCUAGAGGGCACCAGAGGGGUGUGGAAUUCCCGGAGUAGCGGUAAAAUGCGCAGAUAUCGGGAGGAACACCGGUGGCGAAAGCGGAACCCUGGGGUGCGCCUGACGCUGAGAGACGACAGCUAGGGGAGCGAACAGGAUUAGAGACCAUGGUAGUCAUAGCAGUAAACGAUGGAUGCUAGGUGUAGGAGUGAAGAGCUUCUGUGCCGCAGCGUACGCGAUAAGCAACCCGCCUGGGGAGUACGGCCGCAAGGUUAAAACUCAUACGAAUUGACGGGGACCCGCACAAGCAUCGGAGCGUGUGGUUUAAUUCGAUGCUACACGAAGAACCUUACCUGGGAUUGACAUAUGGGUGGUAGUGAUUCGAAAGGAGUGCGACCAUUCGGGGAGCCUAUACAGGUGCUGCAUGGCUGUCGUCAGCUCGUGCCGUGAGGUGUCGGGUUAAGUCCAGUAACGAGCGCAAC
rnacentral:rRNA from 1 species